rnacentral:rRNA from 1 species
UACGGGGGGGGCAAGCGUUGUUCGGAAUUACUGGGCGUAAAGGGUUCGUAGGUGGCCAACUAAGUCAGACGUGAAAUCCCUCAGCUUAACUGGGGAACUGCGUCUGAUACUGGUUGGCUUGAGUGCAGGAGAGGAUCGCGGAAUUCCCGGUGUAGAGGUGAAAUUCGUAGAUAUCGGGAGGAACACCAGUGGCGAAGGCGGCGAUCUGGGAAGAUACUGACGCUGAGGUGCGAAAGCGUGGGGAGCAAACAGG